CAGUAGCCGCGGUAAUACGUAGGGUGCAAGCGUUAAUCGGAAUUACUGGGCGUAAAGCGUGCGCAGGCGGUUAUAUAAGUCAGAUGUGAAAUCCCCGGGCUCAACCUGGGAAUUGCAGUGGAUACUGGGUCACUAGAGUGUGGUAGAGGAUAGUGGAAUUUCCGGUGUAGCAGUGAAAUGCGUAGGUAUGCGGAGGAACACCGAUGGCGAAGGCAAUCCCCUGGGCCUGCACUGACGCUCAUGCACGAAAGCGUGGGGAGCAAACAGGAUUAGAUACCCGAGUAGUCCCUGUCUCUUAUAA
rnacentral:rRNA from 1 species